AGCGAACGCUGGCGGCAGGCCUAACACACGCAAGUCGAGCGAGGACUUCGGUCCUAGCGGCGGACGGGUGAGUAACGCGUGGGAACGUGCCCUUUGCUACGGAAUAACCCCGGGAAACUGGGAGUAAUACCGUAUGUGCCCUUCGGGGGAAAGAGUUAACGGCAAAGGAGCGGCCCGCGUUGUAUUGGGUAGUUGGUGGGGUAAUGGCCUACCAAGCCGACGAUCCAUAGCUGGUUAGAGAGGAUGAUCAGCCACACGGGGGCAGAGACACGGCGCAGACUCCUGAGGGAGGAAGCAGUGGGGAAUCUGAGACAAUGGGGGAAACCAUGAACUAGCCAUGCCGCGUGAGCGAUGAAGGCCUUAGGGUUGUAAAGCUCUUUCAGUGGGGAAGAUAAUGACGGUACCCACAGAAGAAGCCCCGGCUAACUCCGUGCCAGCCGCCGCAGUAA
rnacentral:rRNA from 1 species